CGAGCGGCGAACGGGUGAGUAACACGUGAGUAAUCUGCCCUCCACUUCGGGAUAAGCCUCGGAAACGGGGUCUAAUACCGGAUAUGACCACUUCAUGCAUGUGAUGGUGGUGGAAAGUUUUUCGGUGGGGGAUGUGCUCGCGGCCUAUCAGCUUGUUGGUGGGGUAAUGGCCUACCAAGGCUUCGACGGGUAGCCGGCCUGAGAGGGUGACCGGCCACACUGGGACUGAGACACGGCCCAGACUCCUACGGGAGGCAGCAGUGGGGAAUAUUGGACAAUGGGCGGAAGCCUGAUCCAGCAACGCCGCGUGAGGGAUGACGGCCUUCGGGUUGUAAACCUCUUUCAGUGGGGACGAAGCGCAAGUGACGGUACCCACAGAAGAAGCACCGGCCAACUACGUGCCAGCAGCCGCGGUAAUACGUAGGGUGCGAGCGUUGUCCGGAAUUAUUGGGCGUAAAGGGCUCGUAGGCGGUUUGUCGCGUCGGGAGUGAAAACACUGGGCUUAACUCAGUGCUUGCUUCCGAUACGGGCAGACUAGAGGUAUUCAGGGGAGAACGGAAUUCCUGGUGUAGCGGUGAAAUGCGCAGAUAUCAGGAGGAACACCGGUGGCGAAGGCGGUUCUCUGGGAAUUACCUGACGCUGAGGAGCGAAAGUGUGGGGAGCGAACAGGAUUAGAUACCCUGGUAGUCCACACCGUAAA
rnacentral:rRNA from 1 species